rnacentral:rRNA from 1 species
GACGAACGCUGGCGGCGUGCUUAACACAUGCAAGUCGAACGGAAAGGCCCUGCUUUUGUGGGGUGCUCGAGUGGCGAACGGGUGAGUAACACGUGAGUAACCUGCCCUUGACUUUGGGAUAACUUCAGGAAACUGGGGCUAAUACCGGAUAGGAGCUCCUGCUGCAUGGUGGGGGUUGGAAAGUUUCGGCGGUUGGGGAUGGACUCGCGGCUUAUCAGCUUGUUGGUGGGGUAGUGGCUUACCAAGGCUUUGACGGGUAGCCGGCCUGAGAGGGUGACCGGCCACAUUGGGACUGAGAUACGGCCCAGACUCCUACGGGAGGCAGCAGUGGGGAAUAUUGCACAAUGGGCGGAAGCCUGAUGCAGCAACGCCGCGUGCGGGAUGACGGCCUUCGGGUUGUAAACCGCUUUCGCCUGUGACGAAGCGUCAGGGACGGUAAUGGGUAAAGAAGCACCGGCUAACUACGU